ensembl:lncRNA novel transcript, antisense to ATP2C1
GAAAAGACAACUGGCUACUCUUUCAACGCACCAUGACAACAAGUCAGACUUUAAGAGCUAUUCACAAACUAGGAGAAAAACAAGAAGUAAAAGAGACCAGACAAGCAAAGGAUGCACAGCAACUUAAAGCCUGAAGACAGAAGAUACACAGUUGACUCUUUAACAACAUGAGUUUCAACUGUAAAGGUCUACUUAUACUCAGAUUUGCUUCUGUCACCCGAGACAGCAAGACCAACCCCUCCUUUUCUUCAGCCUACUCAAAGCGAAGACAAUGAGGAUGAAGACCUUUAUAGUGAUCCACUUCUGCUUAAUGAAUUAUAAAUAUAUUUUCUCCUCCUCA